CAUACUCGGGGAUAGCCUUCUGAAAGGAAGAUUAAUACCCGAUGGUAUCUCAAGAGCACAUGCAAUUAAGAUUAAAGAAUUUCGGUAUGCGAUGGGGAUGCGUUCCAUUUGGUAGUAGGCGGGGUAACGGCCCACCUAGCCAUCGAUGGAUAGGGGUUCUGAGAGGAAGGUCCCCCACAUUGGAGCUGAGACACGGUCCAAACUCCUACGGGAGUCAGCAGUGAGGAAUAUUGGUCAAUGGGCGCGAGCCUGAACCAGCCAAGUAGCGUGAAGGAUGACUGCCCUAUGGGUUGUAAACUUCUUUUGUCCGGGAAUAAAACCGCCUACGUGUAGGCGCUUGUAUGUACCGGUACGAAUAAGCAUCGGCUAACUCCGUGCCAGCAGCCGCGGUAAUACGGAGGAUGCGAGCGUUAUCCGGAUUUAUUGGGUUUAAAGGGAGCGCAGACGGGUUUUUAAGUCAGCUGUGAAAGUUUGGGGCCCAACCUUAAAAUUGCAGUUGAUACUGGAGACCUUGAGUGCAGUUGAGGCAGGCGGAAUUCGUGGUGUAGCGGUGAAGUGCUUAGAUAUCACGA
rnacentral:rRNA from 1 species